rnacentral:rRNA from 1 species
GGGUAGAGUAAUGCGUGACCAACCUGCCCCAUGCUCCAGAAUAGCUCUUGGAAACGGGUGGUAAUGCUGGAUGCUCCAACUUGACGCAUGUCUUGUUGGGAAAGUGUUUAGUGGCAUGGGAUGGGGUCGCGUCCUAUCAGCUUGUAGGCGGGGUAAUGGCCCACCUAGGCUUCGACGGGUAGCCGGCCUGAGAGGGCGGACGGCCACAUUGGGACUGAGAUACGGCCCAGACUCCUACGGGAGGCAGCAGACU